rnacentral:rRNA from 1 species
UACGGAGGGGGCGAGCGUUAUUCGGAAUUAUUGGGCGUAAAGGGCGCGUAGGCGGCCCUGUAAGUCAAAGGUGAAAUCCCUCGGCUCAACUGAGGAACUGCCUUUGAAAAUGCAGGGCUUGAGGCCGGGAGGGGGUAGCGGAAUUCCCAAUGUAGCGGUGAAAUGCGUAGAUAUUGGGAGGAACACCAGUGGCGAAGGCGGCUACCUGGACCGGUUCUGACGCUGAGGCGCGAAAGCGUGGGUAGCAAACAGG